rnacentral:rRNA from 1 species
UACGUAGGGUGCGAGCGUUAAUCGGAAUUACUGGGCGUAAAGCGUGCGCAGGCGGUUCGUCGUGUCCGAUGUGAAAGCCCCGGGCUCAACCUGGGAAUGGCAUUGGAAACUGGCGGACUAGAGUGUGGCAGAGGGGGGUGGAAUUCCGCGUGUAGCAGUGAAAUGCGUAGAGAUGCGGAGGAACACCGAUGGCGAAGGCAGCCCCCUGGGCUAACACUGACGCUCAGGCACGAAAGCGUGGGGAGCAAACAGG